GCUGUGGUGUCCGAGUGGUUAAGGAGAUGGACUAGAAAUCCAUUGGGCUCUGCCCGCACAGGUUCGAAUCCUGUCUACAGCG
rnacentral:tRNA from 1 species